ensembl:lncRNA
AUCUUCACUUGGCAUCAUGAGCUCAUCUCCCACUAGAAUAGAACCUGCUGCUGACCCAUCCAGACCCUAUGGACAUUAGUUGGCUUACAUUGUUACCCAUCAUUCAUUUAUUGAUUUGUAAUGAUGCUAACAAAGGAUUUGUUAUCUUUGAGCCACAUCCUUUAAGGCAACAUAUUGAAGAAUCUUUUUCAGUGUAUAUUCAGAUUGGAUUUAUAUGUAGUAGCAUGGGUACGGACGGUCAGGGGCUUUUCUUGAAAACGUGAUCUGACUUGCAAAAAUGAUUUCCUAUAUAGGCUUUUAGCUUUAAUUAGGGCCUGGAGAUUUUCCUAGGCUGGUCAUUUGUUCAGGAAAAACUCUUAACCCAUUUCUGUGGAUCCUCUUUCACUGUGUAUAUAUACAAAUAAAGAGUUAUUUUAUUUAUUUAUUUUUCUCAAAAAGUAACUUCAAAAUGGAAGUCAUGCUGAUGAUCUAAACUAUGCUCCACACUCCGUCCUGUUGGUGGCAGUAUUGGAAUUAGAAUCAUAACAAGGUGGGACGAAAUCUUCAGAAGCAGGUACAGCAGAAAAAUAAAAUAGUCUUUGUCCUUUGCUAGCUAGAUCGUUGCUUUUGUACUAGCUAAUAUAUGCAUUUUUUAUGCAAUUGCGUGGAACUUGUUUAACGCCUCAAAAUCUAAAAUGACAUGGCGAACAUAAUGAGAUGGUACCCUCUUUAAGGCCUAAGACGAGCGCGGGUGAGGUUGCAGACGAGUGAACCUGAAGAGUCAUCCCAGCUCAGACACGCUGGAAGAUAACAUGCCAAAUGGAACCAGAGAGUUACAGUCUGGUGCUUCCUCUGCUAUGAGCUACAUUAUGGAUCCAUCUGCCAGAGACUGGAGCAAAGGCUCAUUGAGGGGUAGCAGUGCUCCCUUCUCCCCAGACACAGAUGGGGACGUUGAUGGAGACCCUGUGCAGCCCAGUGUGGACCUGGAACUCGCUCGUAAGAAGAAGGAGCUGGAGGUCAUACAGGAGAAGAUAGCUCGCAAGAAAGCUGUUCUUGCUACACGACAGCUUAAACACGGAGCUAAGGACAUGCCUAAAAAACAGACUGCAUCCACAACAGUGAAGGGCAUCGCUAAACAGACCAAGAUAAACAAUACAAUAUUCAAAACAUACAACCAGGUCACCGACAAGUCGUCACGCGUAUGCCUACCUCUUAAACGGAGGGUGCUGGACAUUCUACGUAAGUUCAGAAGAACACCGGUACGGCACCUACUUCGUAAGACGAAGAAACAAAACAAGAUGCGAGCAUUGGAGCUGAUGAUUAGCGCUCCCCUAGAAAAUGAAGAGGCCCAUCCUCUGAGACUGAGAGUGAAGGUUUUAAUGAACCAGCGACGCUCUCCCAACAAUGAGGUGGUCGCUAAUGAUAAACAACAUAAUCCAACCAUUCAGAGGCCAGUUCACUCACUCAGGACACAGGAGAAAGACAUAGCAGCCACAGGCUUCCAGCGCUUCCUCAAUGUCCUCAAUGAAGGUGUGGACCUCAACAAGCUCUCAAAGAUCGUCAACGACGAAAAUGAGCUACUCAUUGUGGGCGAGGAGCUACCACAAGUUUGGCCGACUCUGCUCGAGGGUCAUGUUGACUACAGCAGUAGGUCCAAGUCUUCUCCGUUUGAGGAGAAGAAGGUGAGGCUUGAGGAUGAGCAGCGGUACGAGCGGAUGCAGACCCUGCUGGAGAUCGUUGGGCUGGACUUGGGGGUUGAGGAGUUGGGUCGGCUGACAGACAGGACCAAUGAUAGGCUAUAUGGAAAGAUGGGAGACUUGAAAAGGGACAGAGCCAGAGAAGGGGAAAGUCCUGCGAGAGAGGGAUGCAGGCAAAGAUGCUCUAGUACCAGAGUCAGAGAAAGAGACAGAUCUGAGAGAAACCGAAAGGGAGACGGGCACAGACACUCCAGUACCAGAGAGAGCGACAAGGACAUACCGGUAGUCAGAGAAACAAACAGAUCAGAAAGGAACAGAGAUAAAGACGGGGACAGAGACCCAGAGAAGGACUGGGACGGAGGCCGAGAGAGAGACCGGGACAGAUCUAGGAGAGACGGGGGCAGAUACAGAUCUGAGAGAGAUGGGGACAGAGACCCAGAGAAAAGCAGAGACGGAGGCCGAGAGAAAGACCGGGACAAAAUGAGAGACCGGGACAGAUACAGAUCUGAGAGAGACAGAAAACGAGAGAUAGCCAAGGAUAUAGACAGGUGGCUGCAAAGGACCAGAGACGGAGACAAACGCUCUAGGACCAGAGACUGGGACAGAGAGAGAUCUGAGAGGGAUAGGUAUGGGGAUGAGUCCAGGGAACGCUCCAUUGAGCUCUACUCAUACUCCAUGGACCCUAUAUUCCCUGUUUCUCAUCCCCAUGCAUCUAUGAUGGCUACCUACUCCACCACCCAGUACUCUCAGUAUAUGGCAUACCACAGCAGCCCCUACACCAUGGCCUUCCCUCCAGGGUGCGGUUAUCCCGCUGGUACCAUGCCCCCUGGUAUUAUGCCCCCUGGUAUUAUGCCCCCUGGUAUUAUGCCCCCUGGUAUUAUGCCUCCUGGUACCAUGCUUCCUGGAAUCAUGCCAGCUGGUGCCAUGCUGCCUAGUAACAAGCCCCGCCAACCUAACCCCCCUGGGUAUCCACCCUACACCAACUUCCCCCCAUAUUACUCUAAUGGCACCACAGCCUUAAACCAGACAUACACAUACACCCAGCCUGCCAGCACUCGAGCAGUCUUAAGUCAGAGAUACACAUACAUCCAACCCACUAGAAACCGCAGGAAAAAGACACAGAAGCAUGCCAGAGGGAAAGUGUCCUGUCAGAUGAUGACAAAGAAGUCCCCCGCGGUUUUGACCACUCAGAUAGCGACAAAGAAGUACCCCCCUGAACCAGGGUCCAAGAUUAAAGCAAAGGGGAGAAACAAUAUAUUCUUCACAGGUAUAUUCAUGAAGAGUUAUCACAGUCAUCUAAGGAAGUUCCAGUAUUAUUUGAAACGGCUUGCGAAGAGGAGGAAUAAGGUUCACCAGCGCAAAAGAAAGCGAUUGCUUGCAGAAGCAGCAGGGAGAGUGGCCCCUCACUUCCCCUUUGAACCGGAGCCCAAGAAAGACGGGGAGAAACUACAUGCUGACACUUCUGAAGAAGUGGUUCCUCAGGAAGCUGCAAAGAAUGUGGAGGCACCAUCUGAAACAGGGCCUAAGAAAGAACCAGAAGGUGAGAAACUACAUGCUGACACUGCUGAAGAAGUGGUUCCUCAGGAAGCUGCAAAGAAUGUGGAGGCACCAUCUGAAACAGGGCCUAAGAAAGAACCAGAAGGUGAGAAACUACAUGCUGACACUGCUAAAGAAGUGGGCCCUCAGGAAGCUGCAAAGAAUGUGGAGGCACCAUCUGAAACAGGGCCUAAGAAAGAACCAGAAGGCGAGAAACAACAUGCUGAUGCUGCAGAGAAAGUGGCUCCUCAGGUGACUGCGAUGGACACUGUGGCCCCCUCUGAAAUGGGCCCCAAGAAAAAAAAGUUGUAUCCAGGUAUCUUCAUGAAGAUUCUAAUGAGACGUCUAAAGAGGCAACAGUGCAAGAUAAAAGGGAAGAAGAAGCAUUUUGCAAAGAGGAGGAAAAAGGCUUUCCAGUACAAGGGGAAGAGACCAUUGGUAGACACUAAGGAAAAAGUGCCUCUUCUAGAGGCUGCAAAGGACUCUGGGAACCCCUCUGAACCAUGGCCCAAGAAAAAGAAAAAAAAGAAAACACUAGAGGAAAAAGGAGGUAUAUACUACCCAGGGAUAUUCAUAAGGGUACACAGAACCUAUUUGACAAGGGGGAAACUGGCAAAAGCAGCUGCUGAAGGCACUGAGGCCAUUUCUGAACCAGCACCCAUGAUUGAAGGGGGGGGAGGAAUGACAGAAGGGGAGGAACUGCUUGCAGACACACUAGAGAAAGGGGUUCCUCAAGUGGCUACAAAUGACUCUGGGCUUCCCCCUGAACCAGGGCCCUACAAAGAACCAGAAAGAGAGGAAGAAACUAUGUUAGAAGAGGAGAAACUGCUUGCAGAUCAUGUGGCGAAAGUGUCUGUAAAGGGCCCUCAGGUCCUCUUGGAACCAAAGGCUGCGAAAGACAGAGAAGGAGAGGACGAUGCAAUUAUAGAUGGUGAGAAACUGCUAGCAGACCCUGUGGAGAAAGUGGCUAUAACAGGCCCUGGCUUGCUCUCUGAACCAGAGGCUGAGAAGGAGACAAGGGGAGAAACAACCAGUGGCAUGAGAAUUAAUGAAGGAAAAAUAAGCUUGAAGAGUUCAACCUGAAGAUGGGCACGCCUAACACAGCCUCAAAGGAUGGCUAGCUGUUAUCUUCACUUGGCAUCAUGAGCUCAUCGCACACUAGAAUAGAACCUGCUGCUGACCCAUCCAGACCCUAUGGACAUCAGUUGGCUUACAUUCUUACCUAUCAACCAUUUAAUAGAUUUGUAAUCACUAAAAAAAUAUUUGUUAAAGUUUAGCCUCAUCCUUAAAUGCUUUGUAUUGAAUUUAUUUUCAGUGUAACUUAUUGAUAUUGUGUGUGGGGUAUGGGUAGGGUCUAGCACAUUCAUAUAUGCUAAGUACCUUUAGCGCCGAUUGAUGAUAGUAUCUUCUGGCCGGGGGAGUUUAAUUAAGAGCCCCGACCCUUGCACUAAACAUUAACACGCAUCGCUUGCGGCCUGAUUUUGGAACAUAAGGAACUAUCUUUCAUAUCAGCGUUGGACAAAAAUGCACAUUUAUUGGGUUAGGGUUCCCACACGGCCAUAUUUCCAUGUUACAGUGCUUGUUUACGGAAAACGGACGGAAGACGGAGUCGACUACCUUUGCUAAUUACCGAUCUGCAUCUCCAAAACCCUGUGUGUAAACAGAAGAUGGACACCACAAACUCGUUGUCACUGAAAGAUACUGUCGGCUGCAACUGUUAAAACCGGUUUCAUAAACUGGGUGGUUUGAGGCAUGAAUUCGGAUUGGCUGAAAGCCAUGGUAUAUCAGACCAUAUACCAUGGGUAUGACUAAACAUUUAGUUUUACUGCUCUAAUUACAUUGGUAACCAGUUUAUAACAGCAAUAAGGCUCCUCUGGGGGUUUGAUGUAGGGCCAAUAUACCACGGCUAAGGGCUGUGUCCAGGCACUUCGUGUUGCGUCGUGCUUAAGAACAGUCCUUAGCCCUGGUAUAUUGGCCAUAUACCACAACUCCUCGGGCCUUAUUGCUUAAAUAACAGAGUAAGUGUACAUUUUGCAUAUGAAAGUAGAUGCCUUGAUGUUUCUAGAACCGUACUGCAAUUUAGAUGGGAGUAUUUGGCUGCCAGAGACAAUUUUCCUGUUCUAAACCAAAUAAGGGCCUGGAGUUUAUUUGGUCUGGUCAUGUGGUCAAGAAAAAUUCCUGGCCCUAGAUAUAGUACAUGUGUAUCAAUGGGAUGAAAAUACUAUUGACGGCAUUAUGUUUGUAAGUUAUCAUGCCUGAUAGCUAAAAGUAAGAACUGCCCAUGUUUCAUUCCCCAGUGCAGUCAGCCCUCCUAUUUCUAUAGAUCUUUCACUUUGUAAAUAUGUAAUUGAAUAAAAUAUUCGGUCUAUUGUAAGUGUGUAGUGUAUCAUAUUUCAAAUUAACUUCAACCCAUUGAGCUUCACAUUCCUUUUCAGGGACAACUUCCAUUGGUUUUGUAUUAGAUAAUUCCAUGCACUUUCGCAUUCUGCCCUAUUGGUGGCAGUAUUGGAUUUUUGAUCCUAUGAAGCUAUAAUUAACCUAGAAGCAGGGGCCUGGAAACGAGUUUGUUUGAUCAGUUGCCGUUCUAACAAAUGUAACUAUAUACAAUAGUAUUUUCUGACUGGUUGUGUGCAUGCAAGUUGUUUGAACCCUCAAGAUCCAGAAUGAGACGGCGAACACAUAAAGGCCUGCGCGAGGGUAGCAUUAGCGCAGAAGGGGCACACUGGAGGUAAACCACAAUUACAAGCAAUGCUUGCGCCUUUUAAGUGGCCACGUGACUAUUUCGAUUUGGCUAUUUUAGAUAUUUGUUGAUAUUCCCCUGCCUGUCAUGCUUACAUUUACACUAUUUAGCUAGCAAGCUAUAUGUGGGCCUGCACUGAAAAUUACAUCACUAACUAGCGCAUUUCAGCUGACAUUCAAAACAAUAUCUUACAAGCGGGUUAGCAUUAUAUAAGUCAAAUGCAACUACCUAUAUAUUGGAACUUGUUUGUUAGAAGCCUGUUAAUUAGUUGGAGUCCUUAUGUCUUGCCUUGAACAUGCAUAUCUGGGCAAAGAACAUCAAAUACACUGCUCAAAAAAAUAAAGGGAACACUUAAACAACACAAUGUAACUCCAAGUCAAUCACACUUCUGUGAAAUCAAACUGUCCACUUAGGAAGCAACACUGAUUCACAAAUUUCACAUGCUGUUGUGCAAAUGGAAUAGACAACAGGUGGAAAUUAUAGGCAAUUAGAAAGACACCCCCAAUAAAGGAGUGGUUCUGCAGGUGGUAACCACAGACCACUUCUCAGUUCCUAUGCUUCCUGGCUGAUGUUUUGGUCACUUUUGAAUGCUGGCGGUGCUUUCACUCUAGUGGUAGCAUGAGACGGAGUCUACAACCCACACAAGUGGCUCAGGUAGUGCAGCUCAUCCAGGAUGGAACAUCAAUGCGAGCUGUGGCAAGAAGGUUUGCUGUGUCUGUCAGCGUAGUGUCCAGAGCAUGGAGGCGCUACCAGGAGACGUGGAGGAGGCCGUAGGAGGGCAACAACCCAGCAGCAGGACCGCUACCUCCGCCUUUGUGCAAGGAGGAGCACUGCCAGAGCCCUGCAAAAUGACCUCCAGCAGGCCACAAAUGUGCAUGUGUCUGCUCAAACGGUCAGAAACAGACUCCAUGGUAUGAGGGCCCGACGUCCACAGGUGGGGGUUGUGCUUACAGCCCAACAGCGUGCAGGACGUUUGGCAUUUGCCAGAGAACACCAAGAUUGGCAAAUUCGCCACUGGCGCCCUGUGCUCUUCACAGAUGAAAGCAGGUUCACACUGAGCACAUGUGACAGUCUGGAGACGCCGUGGAGAACGUUCUGCUGCCUGCAACAUUCUCCAGCAUGACCGGUUUGGCGGUGGGUCAGUCAUGGUGUGGGGUGGCAUUUCUUUGGGGGGCUGCACAGCCCUCCAUGUGCUCGCCAGAGGUAGCCUGACUGCCAUUAGGUACCGAGAUGAGAUCAUCAGACCCCUUGUGAGACCAUAUGCUGGUGCGGUUGGCCCUGGGUUCCUCCUAAUGCAAGACAAUGCUAGACCUCAUGUGGCUGGAGUGUGUCAGCAGUUCCUGCAAGAGGAAGGCAUUGAUGCUAUAGACUGGCCCGCCCGUUCCCCAGACCUGAAUCCAAUUGAGCACAUCUGGGACAUCAUGUCUCGCUCCAUCCACCAACGCCACGUUGCACCACAGACUGUUGAGGAGUUGGCGGAUGCUUUAGUCCAGGUCUGGGAGGAGAUCCCUCAGGAGACCAUCCGCCACCUCAUUAGGAGCAUGCCCAGGCGUUGUAGGGAGGUCCUACAGGCACGUGGAGGCCACACACACUACUGCGCCUAAUUUUGACUUGUUUUAAGGACAUUACAUCAAAGUUGGAUCAGCCUGUAGUGUGGUUUUCCACUUCCACUAAUUUUGAGUGUGACUCCAAAUCCAGACCUCCAUGGGUUGAUACAUUUGAUUUCCAUUUAUAAUUUUUGUGUGAUUUUGUUGUCAGCACAUUCAACUAUGUAAAGAAAAAGUAUUUAAUAAGAAUAUUUAAUUCAUUCAGAUCUAGGAUGUGUUAUUUUAGUGUUCCCUUUAUUUUUUUGAGCAGUGUACAUCAUCAACGACAGACAUGUUUAUAUUCAUAACAUACUUAAUGUUAUAGUUGUCACCCAGACACACAGUACAGUUCACCACCUCUUUAUUCUCUGCAGUGAACCUGGAGUAUCAGCCCAGCUCAGGCACCUUGGCAGAAUGGAUCCAGAGACAUGCAGCCACCAGAGGGAGUAUGGAGAACCAGGGACAUGCAGUCACCAGAGGGAGUAUGGAGAACCAGAGACAUGCAGUCACCAGAGGGAGUAUGGAGAACCAGAGACAUGCAGUCACCAGAGGGAGUAUGGAGAACCAGAGACAUGCAGUCACCAGAGGGAGUAUGAAGAACCAGAGACAUGCAGUCACCAGAGGGAGUAUGGAGAACCAGAGACAUGCAGUCAGUGGAUGGAGUAUAGAGAACCAGAGACAUGCAGUCACCAGAGGGAGUAUGAAGAACCAGAGACAUGCAGUCACCAGAGGGAGUAUGGAGAACCAGAGACAUGCAGUCAGCGGAUGGAGUAUAGAGAACCAGAUACAUGCAGCCACCAGAGGGAGUAUAGAGAACCAGAGACAUGCAGUCAGCGGAUGGAGUAUAGAGAACCAGAGACAUGCAGCCACCAGAGGGAGUAUAGAGAACCAGAGACAUGCAGGCACCAGAGGGAGUAUAGAGAACCAGAGACAUGUAGCCACCAGAGGGAGUAUCGAGAACCAGAGACAUGCAGCAGCCAGAGGGAGUAUGGAGAAGCAGAGACAUGCAGUCAGCGGAUGGAGUAUGGAGAACCAGAGACAUGCAGUUACCAGAGGGAGAAUGGAGAACCAGAGACAUGCAGUCAGCGGAUGGAGUAUGGAGAACUAGAGACAUGCAGUCACCAGAGGGAGAAUGGAGAACCAGAGACAUACAGUCACCAGAGGGAGAAUGGAGAACCAGAGACAUACAGUCACCAGAGGGAGAAUGGAGAACCAGAGACAUGCAGUCACCAGAGGGAGAAUGGAGAACCAGAGACAUGCAGUCACCAGAGGGAGAAUGGAGAACCAGAGACAUCCCAGAGAAGUUGGGGAGGAGUAUGGUGCUUCCGCUGCUAUGAGCCACAUCAUGAACCCAUCAUCCAGAGACUGGAGCAAAGGCUCAUUGAGGGGUAGCAGUGGUCCCUUCUCCCCAGACACAGAUGGGGACAUUGAUGGAGAUCCUGUGGAGCUCAGUGGGGAUUACCUGGAGCUCCUUCGUAAAAGGAUGGAGCUGGACAUCAUAGAGGAACAGAUUGCCAGCAAAAAAAGCUGCUCUUGCUAUGGAAACGUUUGGGCCUGAAUCAAAGGCCAUCCGUAAACAGAAGACGAAGGACAAGGAAAUGUUAACACUUUUUUCCAAUAAGGAUGUUACUCCUAAAGCUAGGGUGAAUAGCAUUUUGAGAAAGCAGGCAUGGACCAAUGGAUGUCGCUCAAAG